UACGUAGGGGGCAAGCGUUGUCCGGAUUUAUUGGGCGUAAAGAGCGUGUAGGCGGCUUUACAGGUCCGUUGUGAAAACUCGAGGCUCAACCUCGAGACGCCGGUGGAAACCGUAAGGCUAGAGUCCGGAAGAGGAGAGUGGAAUUCCUGGUGUAGCGGUGAAAUGCGCAGAUAUCAGGAAGAACACCCGUGGCGAAGGCGGCUCUCUGGGCCGAUACUGACGCUGAGGAGCGAAAGCAUGGGUAGCGAACAGG
rnacentral:rRNA from 1 species